rnacentral:rRNA from 1 species
CCUACGGGAGGCUGCAGUGGGGGAUAUUGCACAAUGGGGGGAACCCUGAUGCAGCGACGCCGCGUGGGUGAAGGAGUGCUUCGGCAUGUAAAGCCCUAUCGGCAGGGAAGAAGCAAGACGGUACCUGACUAAGAAGCCCCGGCUAACUACGUGCCAGCAGCCGCGGUAAUACGUAGGGGGCGAGCGUUAUCCGGAUUCACUGGGGGUAAAGGGAGCGUAGACGGCCAUGCAAGCCAGGGGUGAAAGCCCGGGGCCCAACCCCGGGACUGCCCUUGGAACUGGGCGGCUAGAGUGCGGGAGGGGCAGGCGGAAUGCCUGGUGUAGCGGUGAAAUGCGUAGAGAUCAGGAGGAACACCGGCGGCGAAGGCGGCCUGCUGGACUGCGACUGACGUUGAGGCUCGAAAGCGUGGGGAGCGAACAGGAUUAGAUACCCGAGUAGUC